rnacentral:rRNA from 1 species
UACGAAGGGGGCUAGCGUUGUUCGGAUUUACUGGGCGUAAAGCGUACGUAGGCGGAUCGUUAAGUCGGGGGUGAAAUCCUGGAGCUCAACUCCAGAACUGCCUUCGAUACUGGCGCUCUUGAGUCCGGAAGAGGUGAGUGGAACUCCUAGUGUAGAGGUGGAAUUCGUAGAUAUUAGGAAGAACACCAGUGGCGAAGGCGGCUCACUGGUCCGGUACUGACGCUGAGGUGCGAAAGCGUGGGGAGCAAACAGG